UACGUAGGGUCCGAGCGUUGUCCGGAAUUAUUGGGCGUAAAGGGCUCGUAGGCGGUUUGUCGCGUCGGGAGUGAAAACACGGGGCUUAACCCCGUGCCUGCUUCCGAUACGGGCAGACUAGAGGUAUGCAGGGGAGAACGGAAUUCCUGGUGUAGCGGUGAAAUGCGCAGAUAUCAGGAGGAACACCGGUGGCGAAGGCGGCAUCCUGGACCGAUACUGACGCUGAGGAGCGAAAGCCAGGGGAGCAAACGGG
rnacentral:rRNA from 1 species